CCUUUCUAAGGAAGAUGUUGAGUAUCAUUGAAUUUAUUGAGUGAUCUGAACGUUUUUUGAAGAUUAAAGCUUUUAAUUAAGCUUGAUAUAAAUUUGCUGUUGUGAAGCAGCGUUUUUAAAAGGAUCGCCGUCCAUGUUUCUCUUUCUUUUCGGAUUUUUUGCGAUGAUGGGGGGUCGUUAAUAUUUGGUUUUGAGGGCCCGUAGCUCAGGUGGUUAGAGUGCACCCCUGAUAAGGGUGAGGUCGGUAGUUCAAAUCUACCUGGGCCCACCACUUUUUGUUCAGGGGGCCGUAGCUCAGUCGGUAGAGCGCCUGCUUUGCAAGCAGGAUGCCAGCGGUUCGAUUCCGCUCGGCUCCACCAUUGGCGUAAUUAUGGAAUUUUGUUCUGAUUUUUUGGAGCAAGAGUUUUUUGAAAAUUGAAUAGAAGAUAUAUUUUUUUGUAUUUUUUAUGUUGGCAUUGUAUGCGACAUAUAAGAUACCGGCGUUGUUAACCGCACGUUGAGAAUUUAUCUCAGGAAAUUGGUCUAUUGAAGAAGCAUAAGGAUAUUAUGUUUUUUUAAUUAUAAAGAGUUUGCAAAGAACUUUAUGACGAUUGACAAUGAGAGUAAUCAAGCGCGAAAGGGCAUUUGGUGGAUGCCUUGGCAUGCACAGGCGAUGAAGGACGUGAUAUGCUGCGAUAAGCUAUGGGGAGCUGCAAAUAAGCAUUGAUCCGUAGAUUUCCGAAUGGGGUAACCCGCCUUAUGUGCCUAGGAAACUGAACUAAGUUGGUUUAAUUUUCUAGGUAUUUUGAAGGUAUCUUUAUCUGAAUGAAAUAGGGUAAAAGAAGCGAACGCAGGGAACUGAAACAUCUAAGUACCUGUAGGAAAGGACAUCAAUUGAGACUCCGUUAGUAGUGGCGAGCGAACGCGGAUCAGGCCAGUGGUAGGAAAGAUUUAAGUAGAAUUACCUGGGAAGGUAAGCCAUAGUGUGUGAUAGCCCCGUAUACGUAAUAAUUUUUUCUAUCCUUGAGUAGGGCGGGACACGUGAAAUCCUGUCUGAAUAUGGGGCGACCACGCUCCAAGCCUAAGUACUCGUGCAUGACCGAUAGUGAACUAGUACCGUGAGGGAAAGGCGAAAAGAACCCCUAUGAGGGGAGUGAAAUAGACCCUGAAACCGAAUGCCUACAAACAGUCGAAGGCCGCGAGGC
rnacentral:misc_RNA from 1 species